CAGAUUCACCAUUAACCAUGUUUCCUGUAGCUGUGCUGCUGCUGUUGGCAGCUGGAUCAUAUGUGAAGUGUCAAACUUUGACACAGCCAGCCUCUGUGACUGUGCAGCCAGGUCAAACUCUGACCAUCAGCUGCCAGGUCUCUUAUUCUCUCAGCAGCUACUGGACACAUUGGAUCAGACAGCCAGCAGGGAAAGGACUGGAGUGGAUUGGAAGAAGAGCUGGAGGGAGCACAAACUAUAAAGAUUCACUAAAGAACAAGUUCAGUAUCGAAUUAGACACUUCCAGCAACACAGUGACUCUAAAGGGACAGAACGUGCAGCCUGGAGACACUGCUGUGUAUUACUGUGCCAGAGACACACAAUGAUACAAACCAUCAGCCGACCUGAACAAAAAC